CUUAAAUGCCAAACGCAAGCAAACUCGACAUGUUCGACUCCUCUGCCUCUCGUCGCCAAUUCGGCCUCCAACCCGCGCUUGCCUCGGCGAAGGCGGUGGCAACGAGGCUCGAGCCUGCCUCCGGUGGGGGGCGAUGGCCUCGCUGGCUUCAUCCCCAGCUCGGUCGUCGCUCGGCUGCUCGACAACGAGGACAGAUUCGCUCGGCUUUAUUAGCAUGUCGAUCAGCGAAACCUGGCCGUGGGUAUCAAGUUUGAUGUAAAGGGUGUCCUAGGUUUUCGUAUGGUAUAAGUAAUCUCCAUCGAAGAGAGCAGGGAAGAGGGCAUGAACCUGAAUUUGAAGGAGAAACGGUCAUAAGAAUGGCCAGUAAUAAAACGGAUCAUUGUGUUUGGAGUCUUUGUUGCUAUCCACUACAACAGGCAGGACUGCAGUUCCCCGUUAAACAUGUAGUAGUGUAUUUUUGUAAUGUAUGCAAGGAACAUACAAGCCUUCUUCAACUUACGCUGGCUGUUUGAUGUUGCAAAGUUGAUGCAGCAUAGUUGCUACCCCCCAGUCAUACAAGAUGCAUCUCCUUGAAACUAGUUGUAUGGUUAAAUAAGUUUAGCAUUGGCUUGUGACCAAGUUCUGUAAGAGGACCUAUAGAGUGCUGUUUAUAGUGCUUUUGUGGUCUUGUUAUCAUGAUAAAUUAUUUUGAGCAAUGUGCUUGUACCUUGAGGGCAAUAAUUAUAUUUGGCAAGAAUUAUAUGUUUAUUUUUCA